GACGAACGCUGGCGGUAUGCUUAACACAUGCAAGUCGAACGAGACGAAGAUGAAGUGCUUGCACGGAUUCUUUAGAAAGUGGCGAACGGGUGAGUAACGCGUGGGUAACCGGCCCUAUGGAAAGGAAUAGCCUCGGGAAACUGGGAGUAAUGCCUUAUAGUAGAUCGGGAUCGCAGGAUGCCGAGAUGAAACGCCCCGGUGCCAUAGGAUAGACCCGAGUCCCAUUAGCUAGGUGAUGAGAUAACAGCCCACCAAGUCGACGAUGGGUAACCGGUCUGAGAGGGCGAACGGUCACACUGGAACUGAGACACGGUCCAGACUCCUACGGGAGGCAGCAGUGGGGAAUAUUGCGCAAUGGGGGAAACCCUGACGCAGCAAUACCGCGUGAGUGAAGAAGGUUUUCGGAUCGUAAAGCUCUGUUAUUGGGGAAGAAAAAAGACGGUACCCAAGAAGAAAGUCCCGGCUAACUACGUGCCAGCAGCCGCGGUAAAAC
rnacentral:rRNA from 1 species